UCGGCAAGUGACCGUGCAUGUUUUUAUGUGCUUCAAUAAAUUUUUACGAGGACCAUUUGAUUGUUCAUAAACGUGUCGUUCAUAAAAACUGCAGCAGAGUUCUUACAACAACGUAAAACCAACACGAUGCAUGUGCAAACACCCCACCUCACAAGACAAGCAGCCUAAAUCGGAAAAGGCUUGGGCAGAACGAAGGGACUCGAAAUAGCAAAGAACGAAGUUUGUUUCUGACCAGCAGAGCUGCGAGCCGUCACCAGCAGUAACGCAGAGCGGAGUAAAGCCGGCCAAAGUCAAGAUGUUACCUUGGCAUCUUCCACGAACAUACAGUGAUGGAAUGAAAGCAGAUUCCAGCCAGCUGUACAGCCAGGGUCUGAAGUGUUCUGGCGCCACUGAAGAUGUUGUAUUAGCCGUGCCAAAAAAACACAUUUGAAUAUUGAAUCAAUUUACUGUUGCUGCCGUCUCAGCAGAACUGGCAGUACUUUACAAGUUAAUACGACUUGGAAUAAUACCAAGUAGUCAACUCAAGAUGCUUUCGAUUUUUUUACUUUAUUUUUGCAUUUUGAAACUUUUAAAUGAAUUAAAUUGUAGUUAGCAUCGAGCUAUAAUUAGAUGCAGAGUAUGUAGCCUACAUGUGGUCAAUCUCCGAAGUUGAAAUAUCACUGGUUAAAUAACAGGAAAUGUUUUACCAUUCAGAAAUUACAACAAUGACCACGGAUUUCAAUAUAAUGCUGUAAAUGAUUAUAAUCUAAGGGCGUGGGGAUUCUUAAUGUGGGGGAAUUAGAAAUUCUGUCAGCAUGUUGCCUGGGAUCAUUCCCUUGAACUUGUGUAAUUCUAUUUUCGCU